CAUUGUGUGAAAAUAAAAGCAUUUUUAAAGUGCAUUUUUUGUUUAUGUGAUAAGGAAUAAUACCUUAAUAUAUAGUAGAUGAAAAACUUGUUAUAAAUAUUUGAUACAUUUUAAAGCAAAUAUAAGGAAGUAAUAAGUAGAGACAGAAAUGAUGCUGCAUAACAGGAAUGACCCAACUGUAAUGGCUCACUUUGUUAAAUAUCACCAAAUCCAAAUGGUGUAACCAGCAAACAUUCCUCAAACCUCUGCUUUCAAGUCUAUUGUAGCAAUUUCACUGGACAAGCUGUAUGCUUCAUUUGAUAAUUUCAUUAUACAGUAUGUUUAAAUAAAAAAAUAAAUAAAAUAAAACUAUAACUUCUGCUAAUUUGUAGAACAGCUGCUACUACAAAGCAUGGAGCAGCAAGCAAAUUUCCACCAAUCUUUUCAAUAUUAAAAGUUGUUGUGCCACUGUUUUGGCUGUUAGCACGAUCUAUUUAAUUUGUCAAAUGUGGGUCACAUUUGAUGCUUUCUUCGGAGGGUACAUAGUUGUGCCCACUGCAUAUUAUUUUACAUCUUUCAAAACUAAGAAGCAUAACUAAGAAGUUAAAGAGCUAUGAAAAAAGCUAUGAGGUUUGACAUAUAGUAUAGUUUAUCUGAGGUUUGUCUUUUACCUA